rnacentral:rRNA from 1 species
GUCCAUGGCUAUAUCACCGUGAACACUCCCGAUCUCAUCUGAUCUCGGAAGCUAAGCAGGGUCGGGCCUGGUUAGUACUUGGAUGGGAGAAAACCGUAAUAAAUU